rnacentral:tRNA from 1 species
AACACGGUGGUCUUAUGGUUAAAGCUUUUGUCUCUCGUGCAAAAGGUUGUUGGUUCAAUUCCACCCUGCGUUU